GAUGAAGAACGUAGUGAAAUGCGAUAAGUAAUGUGAAUUGCAGAAUUCAGUGAAUCAUCGAAUCUUUGAACGCACAUUGCGCCCCCUGGUAUUCCGGGGGGCAUGCCUGUUCGAGCGUCAUUUCACCACUCAAGCCUCGCUUGGUAUUGGGCAACGCGGUCCGCCGCGUGCCUCAAAUCGACCGGCUGGGUCUUCUGUCCCCUAAGCGUUGUGGAAACUAUUUGCUAAAGGGUGCUCGGGAGGCUACGCCGUAAAACAAACCCAUUUCUAAGGUUGACCUCGGAUCAGGUAGGGAUACCCGCUGAACUUAAGCAUAUCAAUAAGCGGAGGA
rnacentral:misc_RNA from 1 species